CACAGGUUUGGUCCUAGCCUUUAUAUUAAUUGUUAAUAAAAUUACACAUGCAAGUAUCCGCACCCCAGUGAAAAUGCCCUCCAAAUCACAUUAACGAUCAAAAGGAGCAGGUAUCAAGCACGCUAAAUUAGCAGCUUACAACACCUUGCUUAACCACACCCCCACGGGAAACAGCAGUGAUAAAAAUUAAGCCAUAAACGAAAGUUCGACUAAGUUAUAUUAAAUCAGGGUUGGUAAAUUUCGUGCCAGCCACCGCGGUCAUACGAUUAACCCAAAUUAAUAUACUCCGGCGUAAAGAGUGUCAAAGAUAUAUACAUAUAAUAAAGUUAAAAACUAACUAAGCUGUAAAAAGCCACAGCGAAAAAUAAAAUAAACUACGAAAGUGACUUUAACACCUCUGACUACACGACAGCUAAGAUCCAAACUGGGAUUAGAUACCCCACUAUGCUUAGCCAUAAACUAAAAUAAUUUAUCCAACAAAAUUAUUCGCCAGAGUACUACUAGCAACAGCUUAAAACUCAAAGGACUUGGCGGUGCUUUAUAUCCCUCUAGAGGAGCCUGUUCCAUAAUCGAUAAACCCCGAUAAACCUUACCAUCCCUUGCCAACACAGCCUAUAUACCGCCAUCUUCAGCAAACCCUAAAAAGGACUCAAAGUAAGCACAAAUAUAAGACAUAAAAAAGUUAGGUCAAGGUGUAGCCUAUGGGAUGGAGAGAAAUGGGCUACAUUUUCUACUCAAGAACAACACAACUCAUUACACGAAAGUUUUUAUGAAACUGAAAACUAAAGGAGGAUUUAGCAGUAAAUUAAGAAUAGAGAGCUUAAUUGAACUAGGCCAUGAAGCACGCACACACCGCCCGUCACCCUCCUUAAAUAUUACAUACUACAACUUAACAUAUAACAAUUGUUAAACAUAUGAAAGGAGACAAGUCGUAACAAGGUAAGCGUACUGGAAAGUGUGCUUGGACAAUC
rnacentral:ncRNA from 1 species